GCCGAGGUGGUGGAAUUGGCAGACGCGGCGGACUCAAAAUCCGCUGGGGUUGAUAGCCCCGUGCGGGUUCGACUCCCGCCCUCGGCACCA
rnacentral:tRNA from 1 species